UACGAAGGGGGCUAGCGUUGCUCGGAAUCACUGGGCGUAAAGCGCACGUAGGCGGCUUCUUAAGUCAGGGGUGAAAUCCUGGAGCUCAACUCCAGAACUGCCUUCGAUACUGCGGGUCUCGAGUCCGGGAGAGGUGAGUGGAAUUCCUAGUGUAGAGGUGAAAUUCGUAGAUAUUAGGAAGAACACCAGUGGCGAAGGCGGCUCACUGGCCCGGUACUGACGCUGAGGCGCGAAAGCGUGGGGAGCAAACAGG
rnacentral:rRNA from 1 species